GCUUCUAGGUAUGCCCAAUCUUAUCUAAUCUAGAAAGAUAAGCAUGAUGAGGGCUAGUUAGUACUUGAAUGGGAGAUUGUCUGAGUAUGUCAGUUGCUGGAUGCU
rnacentral:rRNA from 1 species